rnacentral:rRNA from 1 species
CUACGUGCCAGCAGCCGCGGUAAUACGUAGGGCGCGAGCGUUGUCCGGAAUUAUUGGGCGUAAAGAGCUUGUAGGCGGUUUGUCGCGUCUGCUGUGAAAGGCCGGGGCUUAACUCCGUGUAUUGCAGUGGGUACGGGCAGACUAGAGUGCAGUAGGGGAGACUGGAAUUCCUGGUGUAGCGGUGGAAUGCGCAGAUAUCAGGAGGAACACCGAUGGCGAAGGCAGGUCUCUGGGCUGUAACUGACGCUGAGAAGCGAAAGCAUGGGGAGCGAACAGGAUUAGAUACCCUGGUAGUCCACGCCCUAAACGAUGUCGAUUAGCUGUUGGGCAGCUUGACUGCUUAGUAGCGUAGCUAACGCGUGAAAUCGACCGCCUGGGGAGUACGGUCGCAAGAUUAAAACUCAAAGGAAUUGACGGGGACCCGCACAAGCGGUGGAUGAUGUGGAUUAAUUCGAUGCAACGCGAAGAACCUUACCUGG